CUUGAGUGAUUAUAGACUUGAUGCAAUAAUGAAAUAGUUUAAAAUGACUUGCUAUCGUAAAGUUGAUACCUUAUUAAUUGCUGCUAGCGAAUUGCUAAGUGUAUCCAACGUGAAUAUACCCGAGUCGAAAUCUCCAACGUUAUUCCAACGUUUCCAACGUCUCAAACGCGACUCCAAGGUUUCCAACGUCUCCAACGUUAUUCCAACGUUUCCAACGUCUCAAACGCGACUCCAAGGUUUCCAACGUCUCCAACGUUAUUCCAACGUUUCCAACGUUACAAGCGUUAAUUCAAUGUUUUGAACUUUACGAAUAAAUAAAAAUAUAUGUAGACAUAAAAAACAAAAAAUUUAUAUAAUAAAUAGUGCAUUCCACGCCAAA